rnacentral:rRNA from 1 species
UGGGGAAUAUUGGGCAAUGGGCGCAAGCCUGACCCAGCAACGCCGCGUGAAGGAAGAAGGCUUUCGGGUUGUAAACUUCUUUUGUCAGGGACGAGCAGAAGACGGUACCUGACGAAUAAGCCACGGCUAACUACGUGCCAGCGGCCGCGGUAAUACGUAGGGAGCAAGCGUUGUCCGGAAUGACUGGGCGUAAAGGGCGCGUAGGUGGUUUUGUAAGUCUGGAGUGAAACCCCCGUUUUCAAGGCGGGGCCUGCUUUGGAGACUGCAGGACUUGAGUGAUGGAGAGGAUAGCGGAAUUCCCGGUGUAGCGGUGAAAUGCGUAGAGAUCGGGAGGAACACCAGUGGCGAAGGCGGCUAUCUGGACAUAGACUGACACUGAGGCGCGAAAGCGUGGGGAGCAAACAGGAUUAGAUACCCUGGUAGU